GACGAACGCUGGCGGCGUGCCUAAUACAUGCAAGUUGAGCGCUGAAGGUUGGUACUUGUACCGACUGGAUGAGCAGCGAACGGGUGAGUGACGCGUGGGGAAUCUGCCUUUGAGCGGGGGACAACAUUUGGAAACGAAUGCUAAUACCGCAUAAAAACUUUAAACACAAGUUUUAAGUUUGAAAGAUGCAAUUGCAUCACUCAAAGAUGAUCCCGCGUUGUAUUAGCUAGUUGGUGAGGUAAAGGCUCACCAAGGCGAUGAUACAUAGCCGACCUGAGAGGGUGAUCGGCCACAUUGGGACUGAGACACGGCCCAAACUCCUACGGGAGGCAGCAGUAGGGAAUCUUCGGCAAUGGACGAAAGUCUGACCGAGCAACGCCGCGUGAGUGAAGAAGGUUUUCGGAUCGUAAAACUCUGUUGGUAGAGAAGAACGUUGGUGAGAGUGGAAAGCUCAUCAAGUGACGGUAACUACCCAGAAAGGGACGGCGAACUACGU
rnacentral:rRNA from 1 species